rnacentral:tRNA from 1 species
UCCCAGAUAGUAUAGUGGUCAGUAUUUCGGCUUGUCACGCCGGAGGCCGGAGUUCGAUUCUCCGUCUGGGAG